UGUGCCAGCCGCCGCGGUAAUACGUAGGGGGCGAGCGUUGUCCGGAAUUAUUGGGCGUAAGGCGCGCGCAGGCGGCCUGUUAAGUCUGGUGUGAAAGACCACGGCUCAACCGUGGGGGUGCACCAGAAACUGGCAGGCUUGGGUGCAGGAGAGGAGAGCGGAAUUCCCGGUGUAGCGGUGGAAUGCGUAGAGAUCGGGAGGAACACCAGUGGCGAAGGCGGCUCUCUGGCCUGUAACUGACGCUGAGGCGCGAAAGCGUGGGGAGCGAACAGGAUUAGAAACCCCUGUAGUCCA
rnacentral:rRNA from 1 species